GCCCUUGGUGGCCCCUUGGGGGCAGGCUGGCUUUUAGGGUGAUUUUCAGGAUGACUCGUAGGAUAAUUUAUGGGGCAGUCCUUGUAACUGCAAGGCAGCAUUUCUGUCGGUCCCUCCCUUUGUGACUGUAUAGGAGGGACACCAGGGGCUGGCAGACCACGUCAGCACAGCCUGACAUCAGAGCCCUGUAGCAGGAGACAGGCUGUCACGGGGACGCUGAAUGUACAAGCUCUGUUCCCGGCCCCAGGGAGGUGUGAGGUUGGAGUCCACGGCACAGACUUCAGCUGCUGGAACUCAAGCCUGUGUAUGGUCAGGGUUCAAAAUUUGCCACCACGUGUUACAGGGUCAGGCUAGAGUCCUACUUAUGGCAUAGUUUGCAAUGAGAAGGAGCCUUAUGUGCUGAAGGAUAGGCCCCCACCUUGUGAUCCUUAAUUUUAAAGACCUCAGCAUCAGGGCAAUUUUCUUGAGUAACUUAUUUUAGAGUAGAAAUUAUCAGUUUCUCGAGGUCGGGAUUGAAGGCACUUGAGAUGGUAUUUCAUGUUCGGACUCAGCCUGCAAUGCAGACUUUUGUGUCCAAUCACAAAACAUCACCCAAACCCAUGAAGAAGAAGUAAGAAGAAGGUAAAGAAGAACAACCCGUCUCCACCCUAAAACCUCCAUCUUUCUUUGUAUUUAUUUCUAUAUUCUAAAACCCCAAACUCUAAGUUUCCCACCCUGUGAUAUUACACACUUCUAACCAACUACAUACCCAGUAAUCCCAGUACUAUCAAUCAAUUAAUCAAAUUUUAAAGUCUUCUCCACAGCCUCAGGUCAAAUGCAGUGUUCUCUUGUGGGUCUGUGCCUUUCAGCACAGAAAGUCUAAAAUUCUCAGCAUCCAGGAUUCCAACAGAAAUCUCCUGGUGAGAAGGACAUACAUGCUGACUCUGCAGAAGUUCUUUGCUGGGUAACUUAAGUAAAGGAGGGGCAAAAAGUCAUGGUACUGUAAGACCUCUUCUAAAAUGGUCCAGGGUUGCAAAUUUGAAUCAAGUCUUGCUGGCUAAGGAGGCUGUUUGACUUGUAAAUCAGUUUCUGUUUACAGCUGCUGAUGACAGAUCCCACACUAUUAAAGAUGAUGUCAUUUCA